rnacentral:lncRNA from 10 species
GUAAAACACAUUCUAAAUCCUAAUAUAUCUAUUCCUUUAAUAUGCCACUUGAAGUACAAUAGUGCAAACAAAAACACAUAAUGGGUUCCUCUUGAGAGAAAGGAAAAUGUAUUCACUUCUGAUGAAAGAUCUUUUGAUAAUUCACUCUUGGCUUCACCACUUGAUUUAUAUCAUCUUCCCACAUUAAUUUGUUUUUAAUUUUUUCUGCCUUCUAAGGUUUUUCUCAUUUCAGUGACAUAUACGUGACAGAUGAGGUUGAUGAACUACAGAAAUACAGAUUCUAACUCAGAUGAAAAGCUUAAAUUAUUCUGCAGUCCCAUCGAAUUCAAGAAAGAAACUGAGAAGUCGGGAUUUCCAAGGGCUUUGAAACAAAUUUUCGAAACAAGUGAUGAAAUCAACAACGGUCAAAGAAACAUGAAAACGUGUAUUUGAGAAAAAGGAAAACAAUACAUUAGAAGUUGAUAAUGUACCAGAGUGCAUAUGAUGAUUAACAUUUUCUUGACUAUCAAGAUUGAUUGUUUUAGGGUUCUUUGCAUUCGUGGUGAGUACUGCUGUUUGAUGGAUGGAAAAAUGAAGUUAUUCGUAUUAAAUAAUUAUAACAGUAUGGAAGGAAAAAUUCCCUGAUAAUAAAAGUGAAGGGCAUCAAUCUAAAGCUAAGAGUAAGGCCUACUAUUACAUCCUUAGAUAUAUAUGUAAUCUAUAUAUGCGUGUGUGUUUAUGUAAACAAUGUGAUUUUGUGAUGUUUUGGGACUUUAAGAAGUAGUUGUAAUGCGUAGAUCAUUGCUACGAUAGAUUACACAGUGGAAGCAUUUAUCAAGACUGCAAUUGUGUUCUUAUGAAUGUUUUACAGUUGUCAGCUC